rnacentral:lncRNA from 1 species
AUCACCAUACCAAGCAGGAUUGUGUCCAGUUGUUUCUCUUUCUGGUGCCUUGUAUGAUGCCAAGUAACGCUGAAACUCGGCAAAUCAGGGCUGAAGAGAACCAUGUUGGAAUGUGCAAAGUGCCAAAUUAAAGGUCCCAGCCUAAAUGCUGUCAUUCAGAAUGAAGGGAGCAACUAAAAGUUGAGAAGAGUCCAGGAGACUUUCAGAGAAUAUGUGACAUGGCUUGAACUAUCAGUUGGCUUUUCCUAGAAGAAGAAAGAAAAGCACCUCUAAGUAGAAUAAAUACAAGGGAGGCAGGAACAAUGAAAAUUCCUGUAUUUCCCCCAGAGAACAAGUAUUCCAAAUGAAUGGAGCACAAGUGUUCAUUCAACAAAAUAAAACAAAAACAAAACAAAAACAAAAUAUCAUUCCUUAAGUCAAAAUGGUGUCCUAAUUUCUGAGUUUGAAUUAUUGUCCUAUGAGUUUCAGUCAUAUUGUCAUCCCUGGCAUAUAUAAUUCUAUGUCAGGUAUUUUUCUUUACUUCCUCCACACAUGCCUUAGCUUCCUUCCUUUUUUCUUUUUCCUUUUAUUGAAAAUAGGUUUUUUUCAUCACAUAAUAUAUCACCAAUUACAGUUUCCCCUUCAUCUUCUUCUCCAAGUUUCUCUCCACUUCCCUUAUCCCAUAGGGAUCCACUCCCUUUCUGUCUCUCAUUAGAAAACAAACAGACUUCUAAUGAAUAAUAAUAAAAUUAAAUUAAAUAAGAUAAAACAGAAUCUAAUGAGUGGAUCUCUGUUUCUUGUGCCUUUUGUUUGGAUCUUUUUCUUCUGUUUGUUUGUUUGUUUCAUCCAACUCUGAUGUCUUAAUUUACUUAAUACUGACCUCAUUUAGUCUCCUCUCAGUGGGGGCUGUGUCAAUGUACAAUGACCCUAUAGCCAUUCAAAAUAUUUUUCUGCCAGAAUCUUUCCUGUAGUUAUUUUUGUAAAUUAAUUUAUUUGUUUACAUCCAAAUGCAGCAUCCCUCCCAGUCCCUUCUCACAGGGUUCCUCUCCCAUCCCGCUCGCUCCCCUUCAUCUCUGAGAGGGUGUUCCCUUCCUCCUGUAUCACCACAUCCUGAUGCAUCAAGUAUCUGCAGGAUUAGGCAUAUCCUCUCCAACUGUUGCCAGAGAAGGCAGACCUCUGCUGGAUCCUUGGAUCAGCCAGUGUAUACUCUUUGGCUGGUAGCUCAAUCUUUGGAAGCUCCCAAGGGUCCAGGUUAGUUGACACUGUUGGUCUUCCUGUGGAGUUUCCAUCAUCUUUUCAGGCCUUUAAUCCUUCCCCUAGCUCUUCCAUAGGGAUCCUCAACCUCCAUCCAGUGUUUGGUGGUGGUGGUGUCUGCAUCUGUCUCAGUCAGCUGCUGAGUAAGAAGAGACUCUUAGAGGACAACUAUGCUAGGUUCCUGUCUGCAAGCACACAGCAUCACUAACAGUGUCAGGGAUUAAUGCCUGCCCAUGGGAUGAAUCUCAAGUUGAGCUAGUCACUGGUUGGCCAUUCCUUCAGUCUCCGCUCCAUCUUAGUCCCUACAUUUCUUUUAGCUAGAAACAAUUUGAAAUUGAAAGUUUUGUAAAUGGGUUGGUCACCAUGCAUCAGCUAGAAUUUUUGAGUUCCAUGGAGGAAUGGCAGAAAGACACUGGCUUCUUUGUUUAACCCCUCUGUGCACUAACUCAGUUCAAAUGACAAUUGCUAUUCUGUUUACCCAUCUGUAGUAUUGGAAAAAUGUGGCCUUAAUAACCAGCUUAGCCUUGAUAGUUUGCAGUACGGCUACUAUAAAAACACCUUUCAAGUAUGAAAUUUGUAUUUGUUCAAAGUCUUUCUGGUGGAGUAACUCAUAGCCAAGCAACAGUGCAGGUCAGGCAAGCAUAUGUGAUUAAAGGCAAAGAUAUAUAUUUUUAAAAAAAUACAAAAAGUAGAAAUAAAAGUAAAAGUCUUAGGUUCAUUUUGAAAUUGUCAACCUCACACUAUUACAUUAAAUUGUCACUAUUAAUUUCCUAGAACAAAAUGUAUGUUCUUUUGAUCUUUAUAUGACAUGAAUAGAUAUAAUGUUUAUUUAUAUAGAACCUAAACAAAAAUCCUCAUAAAUAUGUUCAAACCAUCACAACAUGCGUAAUUUUGAAGUUUUACCUCACCCUCUCUUCUCUUUGUAAGCCUCGUUGAGCAUUAGACAUCAGUAAACAUUUUAAACCC